rnacentral:rRNA from 1 species
GAUGAACGCUGGCGGCGUGCCUAAUACAUGCAAGUCGAGCGAACGGACGAGAAGCUUGCUUCUCUGAUGUUAGCGGCGGACGGGUGAGUAACACGUGGAUAACCUACCUAUAAGACUGGGAUAACUUCGGGAAACCGGAGCCAAUACCGGAUAAUAUUUUGAACCGCAUGGUUCAAAAGUGAAAGACGGUCUUGCUGUCACUUAUAGAUGGAUCCGCGCUGCAUUAGCUAGUUGGUAAGGUAACGGCUUACCAAGGCAACGAUGCAUAGCCGACCUGAGAGGGUGAUCGGCCACACUGGAACUGAGACACGGUCCAGACUCCUACGGGAGGCAGCAGUAGGGAAUCUUCCGCAAUGGGCGAAAGCCUGACGGAGCAACGCCGCGUGAGUGAUGAAGGUCUUCGGAUCGUAAAACUCUGUUAUUAGGGAAGAACAUAUGUGUAAGUAACUGUGCACAUCUUGACGGUACCUAAUCAGAAAGCCACGGCUAACUACGUGCCAGCAGCCGCGGUAAUACGUAGGUGGCAAGCGUUAUCCGGAAUUAUUGGGCGUAAAGCGCGCGUAGGCGGUUUUUUAAGUCUGAUGUGAAAGCCCACGGCUCAACCGUGGAGGGUCAUUGGAAACUGGAAAACUUGAGUGCAGAAGAGGAAAGUGGAAUUCCAUGUGUAGCGGUGAAAUGCGCAGAGAUAUGGAGGAACACCAGUGGCGAAGGCGACUUUCUGGUCUGUAACUGACGCUGAUGUGCGAAAGCGUGGGGAUCAAACAGGAUUAGAUACCCUGGUAGUCCACGCCGUAAACGAUGAGUGCUAAGUGUUAGGGGGUUUCCGCCCCUUAGUGCUGCAGCUAACGCAUUAAGCACUCCGCCUGGGGAGUACGACCGCAAGGUUGAAACUCAAAGGAAUUGACGGGGACCCGCACAAGCGGUGGAGCAUGUGGUUUAAUUCGAAGCAACGCGAAGAACCUUACCAAAUCUUGACAUCCUUUGACAACUCUAGAGAUAGAGCCUUCCCCUUCGGGGGACAAAGUGACAGGUGGUGCAUGGUUGUCGUCAGCUCGUGUCGUGAGAUGUUGGGUUAAGUCCCGCAACGAGCGCAACCCUUAAGCUUAGUUGCCAUCAUUAAGUUGGGCACUCUAAGUUGACUGCCGGUGACAAACCGGAGGAAGGUGGGGAUGACGUCAAAUCAUCAUGCCCCUUAUGAUUUGGGCUACACACGUGCUACAAUGGACAAUACAAAGGGCAGCGAAACCGCGAGGUCAAGCAAAUCCCAUAAAGUUGUUCUCAGUUCGGAUUGUAGUCUGCAACUCGACUACAUGAAGCUGGAAUCGCUAGUAAUCGUAGAUCAGCAUGCUACGAUGAAUACGUUCCCGGGUCU